GGCCUCGUAGCUCAGUUGGCUAGAGCUGAACUAAAACCUUCCCCUUGCUGGCGUGGGUUCGAAUCCCACCGAGUUUU
rnacentral:tRNA from 1 species